UAAUUCAGCCUUUUCCAUCCCCUAUCUCCUGAUAAAAACAGCAACUAACAAGAAAGAUAAUGAGGAGUGGAUCCUACUGCCAACAAUGACCCUUAAAUUCCUGCUUGUCCUCCAUCACCCAGCUUCUGACCUCAAAAUACGACAAGGGUCACAGCCACGUUAAUCACAUGAAGCCAAGAGAGGAAAGAUGAAGGCUUGAAACUAAAUCUACCUUCUUGCAUCCUGUUUCCAGAAGGAAGAGUAUGUAGCCCUGAAAAAGCUGCUUGCACAGGUAAUUCUUCCCAAGACUCGUAAUAUGGUGGGGACAGGAGGCACAAGGCUGGCCAGAAGAAGAUGGAGGAGACCCCACCACCACCACACCAGCUUCUCUCCACCGCACUGACAUCAUCCAACUCAAUCCUGGACCCAGGAGAGGUUGUGGGUGUGUCUGUUUCUAAUUAACAGUAGAAACUUUUGGUCGA